rnacentral:rRNA from 1 species
AUUGAACGCUGGCGGCAGGCUUAACACGUGCAAGUCGAGCGAGCGGCGGACGGGCGAGUAAUGUCUGGGAAACUGCCUGAUGGAGGGGGAUAACUACUGGAAACGGUAGCUAAUACCGCAUACCAUCAGAUGUGCCCAGAUGGGAUUAGCUAGUAGGUGGGGUAACGGCUCAUCUAGGCGACGAUCCCUAGCUGGUCUGAGAGGAUGACCAGCCACACUGGAACUGAGACACGGGCCAGACUCCUACGGGAGGCAGCAGUGGGGAAUAUUGCACAAUGGGCGCAAGCCUGAUGCAGCCAUGCCGCGUGUAUGAAGAAGGCCUUAGGGUUGUAAAGUACUUUCAGCGAGGAGGCGUUACUCGCAGAAGAAGCACCGGCUAACUCCGUGCCAGCAGCCGCGGUAAUUC